rnacentral:rRNA from 1 species
AGUUCGAUCCUGGCUCAGGAUGAACGCUGGCGGCAUGCCUAAUACAUGCAAGUCGAACGGAGUGAAGCCUUCGGGUUUCAUUCAGUGGCGAACGGGUGAGUAAUACGCAGGGAACCUGGCCAUGGCAGGGGGAUACACUCUGGAAACGGAGCAUAAGACCCCAUAGGCAGUAAGGCGGCAUCGCCUUACUGUUAAAGAAAGCUGAAAGGCUUUGGCGAUGGAUGGACCUGCGGUGCAUUAGCUUGUUGGUGAGGCAACGGCUUACCAAGGCGAUGAUGCAUAGCCGGCCUGAGAGGGCGGACGGCCACACUGGGACUGAGACACGGCCCAGACUCCUGCGGGAGGCAGCAGUAGGGAAUUUUCGUCAAUGGGCGCAAGCCUGAACGAGCAAUGCCGCGUGAGUGAGGAAGGUCUUCGGACUGUAAAGCUCUGUUGCCGGGGAAAAAGGGGAAAUGCAGGAAAUGGCAUUUCAUGGAUGGUACCCGGCCAGAAAGCCACGGCUAACUACGUGCCAGCAGCCGCGGUAAUACGUAGGUGGCGAGCGUUAUCCGGAAUGAUUGGGCGUAAAGGGUGCGCAGGCGGUCUGUUAAGUCUGAAGGCAAAGGGAUGAGCUCAACUCAUUUAUGAUUCAGAAACUGGCAGACUUGAGGACAGGAGAGGGCGGUGGAACUCCAUGUGUAGCGGUAAAAUGCGCAGAGAUAUGGAAGAACACCAGUGGCGAAGGCGGCCGCCUGGCCUGUGACUGACGCUGAGGCACGAAAGCGUGGGGAGCAAAUAGGAUUAGAUACCCUAGUAGUCCACGCCGUAAACGAUGAGGAGCAGGUGUUGGGAGUGAAAUCUCAGUGCCGAAGCCAACGCAGUGACUCCUCCGCCUGGGGAGUAUGCACGCAAGUGUGAAACUCAAAGGAAUUGACGGGGGCCCGCACAAGCGGUGGAGUAUGUGGUUUAAUUCGAAGCAACGCGAAGAACCUUACCAGGUUUUGACAUCGGAUGCGAAGGCGCAGAGAUGCGCUGGAGGCUAUCAUCCAGACAGGUGGUGCAUGGUUGUCGUCAGCUCGUGUCGUGAGAUGUUCAGUUAAGUCUGGCAACGAGCGCAACCCCCGUGGUAUGUUACUAACGCAUUUGGGCGAGGACUCAUAUCAGACUGCCGGUGACAAACCGGAGGAAGGCGGGGAUGACGUCAAAUCAUCAUGCCCCUUAUGACCUGGGCUACACACGUACUACAAUGGCGUCUACAGAGGGAAGCGACCCUGAGAAGGGAAGCGAAACCGGAAAAGGGCGUCCCAGUUCGGAUUGAAGUCUGCAACCCGACUUCAUGAAGAUGGAAUCGCUAGUAAUCGCGGAUCAGCAUGCCGCGGUGAAUACGUUCCCGGGCCUUGUACACACCGCCCGUCAAACCAUGGAAGCCGGCAACGCCCGAAGCCGGUGGCAUAACCUUUUAGGAGUGAGCCGUCGAAGGCGGGGUUGAUGACUGGGGUUAAGUCGUAACAA